rnacentral:rRNA from 1 species
GAUGAACGCUAGCGGCGGGCCUAAUACAUGCAAGUCGAGGGGUAUGGGUUGCUUGCAACCCAGAGACCGGCGCACGGGUGCGUAACGCGUAUGCAAUCUACCUUAAUCAGGGGGAUAGCCCGGAGAAAUCCGGAUUAACACCGCAUAACAUUGAGUUGUGGCAUCACAGUUCAAUCAAAUAUUUAUAGGAUUAAGAUGAGCAUGCGUGACAUUAGUUAGUUGGUGAGGUAACGGCUCACCAAGACCACGAUGUCUAGGGGAUCUGAGAGGAUGACCCCCCACACUGGUACUGAGACACGGACCAGACUCCUACGGGAGGCAGCAGUAAGGAAUAUUGGUCAAUGGGCGCAAGCCUGAACCAGCCAUGCCGCGUGCAGGAAGACGGCCCUAUGGGUUGUAAACUGCUUUUGUACCGGAAUAAACCUUCUCUUGCGAGAGAAGCUGAACGUACGGUAAGAAUAAGGAUCGGCUAACUCCGUG